UCAUGAAGGCGUGAUGUAAUCAACUUGAAGUCCCGUGGCGAGUUUGUGCAGCUAAUAUUUCGAGCGUUAGUCGUUGUCAGAGCAAAGUGAGGGAUUGUGGGUUAUGUGUGUUUGUGUAAUGGAGUGGUUAGGUGGCUACUGGAGGAAGCGUGGCAACAGAAAAUGCACGAAUGAAUUAAAAUGAUAAACGUUCACUGAUCCCACAGGGAACCAAGGUAUAUACGUGCCGAGUAGAAAGAUAACCUUGUGAAUUUUUAUGACUUUCACAGUUGCCUCUUUGGAGAGAAAUACCAAAAACAAUCGUGUCCACGGCAGGGGCCUGGUGGGGGAGUGAGUUUUUUUUUUUUAAAAAAGGCUGGGCUUAGCAAGGUACGGCCCUGAUAUUUUCGCUCGCCAUUUUCUCCUAACGCGAUAAAAAAACUCGUGCGUGUCGGCUCCUUGGGCUUGAAAACCCGAAAGAGUGCGUUAGAGAACAUUUUCAAAUAGCGUUUUGUUUUGCGUCUGUGUCAAAAUUAGCGAGACAUAUAACAAAUGUGUUCACCGAACCGUCCAUUUUCAUGCAAGCUCGCACGGGGACUCGUUUUGAAACAGAGGCAAAUCGAAAAUGGCAAUGGCUCUGAGGUAAACCACCUUAGAAUGUUCAGAAUGUUUGAUGUAAUCUCUUAAAAUACGUGACCUUGUAAUAAAACCUCUUUUAAUAAUCCUGCAUGUUUGCCUUAAACUGUUUUCGUAGACAGCCAAUAAACCCGCUGACCUUUUGUUUCAAAUCGGACGUAAUAUCAAUAAGCAGGAAUUAUUAACACGCAAGUUGACAUUCCAUAAAUGUCUCAAUAUACAGUGUUUUGCUCGUAUCGCGGUAACCCAAACACUUUGACCUUCAACGCGAAUUAUUUUGUAAUUCGUGUCUUUGGGAACCUCGUUUUGACACUGUGCAAGAUAUCAUCUUCGAAGUUUCUUCUCGUUAAGCUAACCUGGGACCUUUUGAUUGGAUAAAAUUAACCUUAUCGUUGCGACAUGGAACCUACACCAGCAGGACUUGGAGAGGUUGAAGAUACUUUAAAACGAAUCACCUCGCACCCGGGCGUCCUGGGUCUCAUUGUACUUAACCCACAAGGCAUUGCGAUCAAGACAACUAUGGAUAAUGCCACAACUCAAGUUUACGCGCACAAUUUUCAGCACUUAACAACCCUUGCAAGGAGUUGCAUUCGAGAUCUCGACCCUCUCAAUGAUCUGAAGUUUCUGCGCGUGCGUUCACGCAAGUACGAGAUUAUGGUGGCACCAUCAGGAGAAUAUUCUUUAAUAGUCAUCCAGAACCCAAACCAGAAGGAUCUGUGAAACAGCUUUGAACAUAUUUAGCCUGCGUAGCAAGCGUUCCCCCUUGAGCGGAGAGUUUCCCGCCCGCUGGUCGAGCGACUAUUGAGGUACGGACUACGGAGAGGGGGAUGUUGGGGUGAUUUUCCUUUGUUCUCGCCCCAUUUUUCGCGCGGCUUGACGCUUGCCUGCAAAGGCUAAUUAAGCAUAUUGGAACAAAACUGGUUCUUAUAUAUAAAAAUAUCAGUGAAAAUAUUGGACUGGCAUUACCAAACAUUAAAAUAAUGAUGACUAUUCUGAAAUAGAGCAAGAUAUAUGGGAUGAACAAUCCUUUAUAUCAUGAAAAUAUUACUAAGAAUGAUGUUAUGAAUAAUAUUGCAACAUUUUCUCCUUACAAUUGAAAAUCAAUGUAUAAACUGUAAGCUCCAAAUAUUAAUAAUUGUUGAAUUUAAAGCAUAUAUUGAAAAAAAAAAACAGUGCCCAGAUUCACUCAAAGGAAUUGAAUAGGUCGA